rnacentral:rRNA from 1 species
AUGAUCACCGAGGAGGAGAGAGAGAUAUUGGAAAAACCCUUUUCUGAGGAGGAGAUUAAAAAGGCAAUUAUGAGUUCUUAUGUUGGAGGAGCUCUUGGCCUUGAUGGCCUAUCAUUUAUUUUUUAUCAAACCUUUUGGGAGUUAAUUAAAGAUGACUUUAUGUGGUUAGUGAAAGAUUUUGAAAAUGGCAAUCUGGAUGUCUCCAGAUUAAACUUUGCUAUUAUUACCCUGAUUCCUAAGGUUAAUAAUGCUAAAGAUAUGAAUUUUUUUAGACCUAUCAGCCUUGGAAACUGUUCUGUUAAGAUUUUUUCAAAAGCUAUGAUACUAGGCUUCCCCUAUAUGUGA